AUGCAGCACCGCGGUUCAAAGCAUGGUCAUCUCGUCGACGGGUUUUUAUUAUUAUUCCAUAUCCAUUUAUCCGCGAACAGAAGUAAUCCGUGGUCUUCGGAGGGGAGAAUAACCCGCAGAGAUCAAAUAGAAACGUCCCACGCGAAGUCUGCAGCGUCAAUCCCCGUAGAAUCUUCGCUACAAGAGUUUCAUCAGGACCGUGUGGUGAUAUUGUGGCAACCCUCUCCCCAUACCAUGAAGAGAUUUUUCCCCAACCAGAAAAACAUUAAUAGUUUUAAAGGGAGGUGGUUUAUUUUCCAAGAAACAACUGAAAAAAACACUAACUGAGGAAGCAACUGGUGGUGUAGAAUGGUGAGUAGAUUAUCAUAAUACAUAACAUUGAAAUGAGACAAUGAAAACGUUACCUAAAAAAUGAGUUUGUCGUAUGGACUGAUGACAAAGAAAAGGAAGGGUGUCAGUCCUGGACAAGCAUUAUGAUAAUGGUAUGCUUUCUGUACAACACUGUUCCAAAUCUAUAGCCCCUUAGAGGACCACAGCGUACCACUGCUCCCGCCCCCCACCUCCCACCAAUUGCCAGCACAGACUCCAAUUACUGGUUCAACUAACAAGCAGUGAUGACGCCCACUCUCCAAAUUACCAAGACCGCAUUUCUAAACAGUGCUUUGGGGAAUCAGUUAGACGGCUGUAGGCUGAGCAACAAGCCCAUCUCACAGAGAAUAAUGAAAGGACCUUUUCUCUAUUUGUUUCUCUUGAUUAUAUUUCAUAACAACCUUUCAUAUUGGACUGAACUGACUGUACUCCCCAAAUGGUUACAAUGUGUGACUCACAACAUUGAAUUCAACUUUACAACAACAUAAAUCCAACUUGCAAUGUGGUUCAUUGCGAUUUCUACCCAGGGAACCCACCUGUGGAAAAUCGUACGUACAGUUGAAGUCAGAAGUUUACAUACACCUUAGCCAAAUACAUUUAAACUCAGUUUUUCACAAUUCCUGACAUUUAAUCCAAGUAAAAAUUCCCUGUCUUGGGUCAGUUAGGAUCACCACUUUAUUUUAAGAAUGUGAAAUGUCGGAAUAAUUAUUUCAGAUUUUUUUCUUUCAUCACAUUCCAAGUGGGUCGGAAGUUUACAUACGCUAAAUUGACUGUGCCUUUAAACAGCUGUGAAAUAAUCUGUCUGUAAACAAUUGUUUGAAAAAUGAUUUGUGUCAUGCACAAAGUAGAUGUCCUAACCGACUUGCCAAAACUAGUUAACAAGAAAUUUGUGGAGUGUUUGAAAAAUGAGUUUUAAUGACUCCAAAGUCAUUACUCCUAAGUUUCUGUAAACUUCCGACUUCAACUGUAACUGUACUGACGAUGAAUUGUCUCAUGUCCCUCAGUGAAGAUGUGAGUGAGAUGUAAAUGUUGACUCCUCUGAGGUAACUAAAGAUUUAGAUACAGUGCAUUGGGAAAGUAUUUAGACCCCUUGACUUUUCCACAUUUUCUUACAUUACAGCCUUAUAUAAAACUGAAAUAUCUUAUUUACAGAAGUAUUCAGGCCCUUUGCUAUGAGACUUGAAAUUGAGCUCAGGUACAUCCUGUUUCCAUUGAUCACCUUUGAGAUGUUUCUACAACUUGACUGGAGUCCACCUGUGGUAAAUUCAAUUGAUUGGACAUGAUUUGGAAAGGCACACACACCUGUCUAUAGAAGGUCCCACAGUUGACAGUGCAUGUCAGAGAAAAAAACCAAGCCAUGAGGUUGAAGGAAUUGUCCGUAGAGAUCCGAGACAGGAUUGUGUUGAGGCACAGAUCUGGAGAAGGGUACAAAAACAUUUCUGCAGCAUUGAAGAUUCCCAAGAACACAGUGGCCUGCAUCAUUCUUAAAUGGAGAAGUUUGGAACCACCAAGACUCUUCCUAGAGCUGGCCGCCCGGCCAAAUGAGCAAUCGGGGGAUAAUUGUUUUUAUUUUUUAUGAUUUAACCUUUAUUUAACUAGGCAAGUCAGUUAAGAACAAAUUCUUCAGAGAUCUUCAUCUGAAGGCCUGGUACAAGCAAAACAUCUCUCCAACUACAGACACCAGUGUCUCUGGUCAGGCAGUUUCUGUGCCCUCAAAAACACCUUUUAUGCCGAAGUUCACCUUUUGUCCCAUCGUCCAGAAUGCCACACUAAAUACAUUUUUCAAGCAGGUUUAUGUUGAUGUGGAGAAUCUGUUUAAGGGUAAAAUUGACUCUAACCAAACACAACGUAGUCUAAGAUAGAGAGGGAUGUAAUUCAAUCAUUGUCCACAAAUGGACAAUUGUGGUUAAAAAAAAUAAAUCAGACAAAAGGUGGUGGUGGACUCACUACAGUAGUGUGGAGUAAAGACAAAUAUGUGACAGAAGCCUACCGUCAAUAAGAUUUCCACCAAUCUCUUACCUUCAACCCUACAGAGGACCUAAAAACUGCAUUGAAAGGGAUCCUCACAGAAGCUAAGGAGAAUGGCUACAUUUCAGACAUUGAGUUCAAAUGUCUUUUCAAUGGCAGUCUGAGUCUGAUUUCUUUUUAUCUUCUUCCAAAAGUCCACAAGAAUCUUGAAACCCCCCAGGCAGACCAGUCAUUAGUGGUAAGACCAGUCAUUAGUGGUAAGACCAGUCAUUAGCAGACAGACCAGUCAUUAGCAGACAGACCAGUCAUUAGCGGUAAGACCAGUCAUUAGCAGACAGGCCAGUCAUUAGCAGACAGACCAGUNNNNNNNNNNCACACACCUCCCUGCCCUGACCAGGUAACACACACCUCCCUGCCCUGUUACAUGUUUUCAUCGGAGUGUAGUCAGCAGGCAUUCUGCAAUGGCUUUGGAUUUUUCUUUCAAAGAGUGUGGUAAUUAAAAUGUCUGUUGCACAAAUCCUCCACAUCCCCCGGUCUUGGGGUAACCAGCCGUUGACCCAAUGACAUAUGGUUUGACCACAUAAAUGCUGAAUGUGCAUAGAACAGAUGUAGAAUACUCUUUUUGUCUUGUUAUUGUUUCUCUCCCAACUGUUUCUGUGGUCAAAGAUAUCAAAGGCCAAAGAAUAUGUUGUUGUAUGUUUUUAAAAUUGUGGCAAAAAAAAAAGUUUUUUUUAUCAAGAACACAUAGGCCUAACAUAUCCAUUAUGAAAUAUAUACCGUGCAUUCUGAAAGCAUUUAGACCCCUUCCCUUUUUCCACAUUUUGUUACAUUACAGCCUUAUUCUUAAAUGGAUUA
rnacentral:lncRNA from 13 species